GCUGCUCACUGGGCUAUGUGAGAGACGCUGUCCGUCGCUGCCGCAGAUGUGUGAUUAUGGAUCAAAACUUCCUACUGUUUGACAAGUUGAAACUGGCCUGUUUCACACAGGCCAGCUACCUAUUUUCAGAUCCAGAUCCUGGAUUCUGACUGUCUAUAGCCAGCUGGAUCAGACUGGCGAGCAAAACCAUCCAUCGAAUCAAGAGAAACAUCUUGUCCCUUCAACUCCUUCCAAUCUGGUAGGAGGCAUUCAAUCCACAGCCACACUUUAAUCUUUACUCUGGACUGAACCGAACUGAAUUGGAUGGUUUGUCAUCAUUCCUCUCACUUCCAUCAAGGAGCUGAAAUAUUGCCUCGAAUAAAGGGAAAAAAAUAUCAUCUUGGACCUCAUGAACUAUUUGAAGAAAUUGUCUCUGUAUAUGUUGUAAAUAUCACUUAAUACAUUUCACUAAUUUUGCACUA